rnacentral:rRNA from 1 species
UACAGAGGUCCCGAGCGUUGUUCGGAUUCACUGGGCGUAAAGGGUGCGUAGGUGGUGAGGUAAGUCGGAUGUGAAAGCUCCAAGCUCAACUUGGAAAUGGCAUUGGAAACUACCUUGCUAGAGGGUUUGGAGGGGGGACUGGAAUACUUGGUGUAGCAGUGAAAUGCGUAGAUAUCAAGUGGAACACCAGUGGCGAAGGCGAGUCCCUGGAAAACUCCUGACACUGAGGCACGAAAGCUAGGGGAGCAAACAGG